rnacentral:lncRNA from 10 species
GGGGAAACCAUCCCCACUAUUCAAUUAGCUCCCACCAGGUUCCUCCCACAACAUGUGAGAAUUAUGGGAGCACAAUUCAAGAUGAGAUUUGGUGGGGAACACAGCCAAACCACAUCACUCUCCCCUGGCCUCUCCCAAAUCGCAUGUCCUCACGUUUCAAAGCACAAUCAUGCCCUUCCAACAGUCUCCCAAAGCCUUAGCUCAUUCCAGAAUCAACUCAAAAGUCUACAGUCCAAAGUUUCAUCUGAGACAAGGUGUGUCCCUUAUGCCUAGGAGCCUGUAAAGUCAAAAGCUAGUUAGUUACUCCUUAGAUACACCUGGAGUACAGACAUUGGGUAAAUACAUCCUUUCCAAAUGGGAGAGAUUAGCCAAAACCAAGGGGCUACAGGCCCCAUGCAAGUCUGAAAUCCAACAGGGCAGUCAUUAAAGCUUAAUGUUCCAAAAUGAUCUCUUUUGACUCCAUGUCUCACAUUCAGGGCACACUGAUGCAAGAGGUGGGUAUCCGCACCUUGGUCAGUACCAUCCAUGUGGCUUUACAGAGUACAGCCACCCUCCCAGUUGCUUUCAUGGGCUGGCAUUGAAUGUCUGUGACUUUUCCAGGCACACAGUACAAGCUGUCAGUGGAUCUACCAUUCUGGGGUCUGGAGGACAGUGGCCCUCUUCUCACAGCUCCACUAGACAGUGCUCCAGUGAGGACUGUAUAUGGGGGCUCUGACCCCAGAUUUCCGUUCUGUACUGCCCUAGCAGAGAUUCUACAUGAGGGCCCUGCUCCUGCAGCAAACUUUUGCCUGGACAUGAAGAUAUUUCCAUACAUACCCUGAAAUCCAGGUGGAGGUCCCCAAACCUCAAUUCUUGACUUCUGUGUACCUUCAGGCUCAACACCAUGUUUAAGCUGCCAAGGCUUGGGGUUUGCACCCUUUGAAGCAAUGUCCUGAGCUGUACCUCGGCUCUUUAAGCCAAGGAUGCACACAGCAGGGGGGACCUGGGCCCAGCCCAUGAAACCAUUAUUUCCUCCUAGGCCUCUGGACCUGUGGUAGGAGGGGCUGCUGUGAAGUUCUCUGACAUACCCUGGAGACAUUUUCCCCAUUGUCUUGGUGAUUAACAUUUGGCUCGUUGUUACUUAUGCAGAUUUCUGCAGCAUACUGGAAUUUCUCCCCAGAUAAUGUUUUUUUUUUUUUUUUUUUUUUUUUGCUUUUCUACUGCAUCUUCAGCCUGCAAAUUUUCUGAACUUUUAUGCUCAGCUUCCUCUUGAAUGCUUUGCUGCUUAGACAUUUCUUCUGCCAGAUACCCUAAAUCAUCUCUCUCAAGUUCAACUUCCAUAGAUCUCCAAGACAGGAGCAAAAUCUUGCCUGUCUCUUUGCUAAAGCAUAAAUAAGAGUCACCUUUGCUCCAGUUCCCAACAAGUUCCUCAUCUCCAUCUGAGAUCACCCAAGCCUGGACUUUAUUGUCCAUAUCACUAUCAACAUUUUGGUCAAAGCCAUUCAACAAGUCCCUAGGAAGUUCUAAACUUUCCUAUAUUUUUCUAUCUUCUUCUGAGCCCUCCAAACAGUUCCAACCUCUGCCUGUUACCUAGUUCCAAAGUCACUUCCACUUUUUCAGGUAUCCUCAUAGCAGCACCCCACUCUACCAGUACCAAUUUACUAUAUUUGUCCAUUCUCGUGCUGCUAAUAAAGAUAUACCAAGACUGGGUAAUUUAUAAAGGAAAGAAGUUUAAUUGACUCACAGUUCUGCAUGGCUGGAGAGGGCUCAGUAAACUUAUACUCACAGCAGAAAAGGAAGCAAACAUGUCCUUCUUCACAUGGUGGCAGCAAAAAGAAGUGCAGAGCAAAAGGGGAAAAGCCCCUUAUAAAACCAUCAGGUCUCUUGAGAACUCACUCACUUUCACAAGAACAUGAUGGGGGAAAGUGCCUCCAUGAUUCAAUUAUCUCUACCUGGUCUCUCCCCCCAACACAUGGGGAUUAUAGAAACUACAGUUCAAGAUGAGAUUUGGGUGGAAACACAGCCUAACCAUAUCAAGUACAUAUUGUAUAAUUUCAUUUGCAUAAAGAUAAAAAACAGUUACAGCUCAUUCGAAUAAUAGAAGUUUCAAUAAUCACUACAUUUGGGCAUGCUAGAAAUGUUCCAUAUCUUGAUCUAAUGGGGGUGACAUUUGGAAAAUAAAUGUACAAUUUAUGAAAGAGGCCAAUUAAGUUAUAAUUUACAACUAAAGACAAACAAAGGUCAAUGAUUGUGCAAAAAAAAAUGUUAACAUAACAUGCAGGUCUAACUGCUAUUAUUCAAAAACCUGUGUACAAAAUUGGCUAAAAUCUUGGAACUUACAUUUAGGAGUGUUCUCAUAAGUCCCAGAAAUGAAGAGUGGCUUACUGGAACUAAAUUGUUUAUACAACAUGGUUUAUGGAGAAUAUCUGCUUUCCUUCUGGAAGUCUAGAAUUUCAGUACUUGCUAGACAGAGGCUGCCUAUAUGACCAGUUCCCAGUAAAAAUCCUGGGUGCUGAAACUUUAAUUAGCUUCCUUGGUAGACAAUAUUUCCCUAUAAUAAAUUACAAUCAUGAACUACAUGUAUGCUACACAUAUAUUGAGUCCUAUGAGUCUUCCUAGUGACCUGAGAGUAGUUGGGUAAUGGGAUGAUGCCAGUAAAUUAAUUUCUGUUGUAUUUUUUAUGUGGUUGGAUUUUAAUAUUUUAAAAAUGUAAUAACUCUCUCUCCUUUCUAUUUGGAUUUCACUUACCUUCCCUUGGAAAAUAAUAACCCGAGUUUGGUGAGAGGAUGUCUAAUAUAGAGGGCACUCCAGGAGUGGGCCUAGCAGCCUUAGCUGGAUGAGGGGGUCCCAUGGAAGAGGAUUGCCUAACACAUGAUUCUGAACUUCAUCCUUACAGACCCGCGAAUGUGUUUCUCAACGACCUGGGGACCAUAUCCGAAAUGUCAUCAUCAAUGGAGAUGGCACCUACCUACCUCUCAGUUUCUGUGGGAGGGUAGCAGCCUAACUUUGCUGAGCAUUUGCACAUUGCCUGGAGGAUAUGGAGAGAGAGAGACCUGGAAGCUGAAGGAACAGGAAGGUCUUCGUGGACAAUAUGUCCAUGCAGCUGUGUCAUCUCCUAUAAUAACACCACCUCCUGCUGGAAUACCUCCUGAAGAACCUGCUUGAGGCUGUUUAAAAUGGUUAACUUUUUUUAUUUUUAAUAUAUAUGUAGAAGCAGACUCUAAAAUAAUGACAAAAGUAUGGUGUAGUAAAUGCAUAAACCAGAAACAUGGUCAUUUAUUAUCAGUAUUAAGUAUUAUGUACUGUAUAAAAUUGUACUGCUAUACUUUUAUACUACUACUAACACAGUAGGUUUGUUUACACCAGCAUCACCACAAACACAUAAGUAAUGCAUUGGGCUAGGACAUUAAGAUAGCUUGUCACCUAUUCUAUCAAUAUGUGAUAAAAAUUUUUCAGUUCCAUUUUAAUCUUAUGGAACCACUGCUGUCUAUGCGGCCUGUCGUUGACCCAAAUGUCAUUAUGUAGUGCAUAACUGUACUAAUACUAAGAAAAACUGAGUGUUUGUAUUUUAGAGUUAAGCACUGAUACGUUUACAAAUAAAAUAAUAUCUGACGUUUGUUUCAAAGGAAUCUGGAUAAGAGGAUAUGGUAAGAACAUAUAUGAAGUAAGAUUGACCAUGGGUUAAUAAUGUUUGAAGCUAAGUGGUAAAUAAUCUUUGUCCCAACCUUUGUGCAUAGUGGUUCUCAAAGAUGAUCCCUGCACUGGCAGCAACAGGAUCAUUUGAGAUCUUGUUUGAAAAGCAAACUCUGAGGAAACCACAUAUUUUGUAACCAAAACUCUGCACAUGAGGCCCAUUAGCCUGUGGUUUCACAAGCCCUUUAGGUAAUUUUGAUCCAAGCUAAUGUUUCUGAAUCACUGCUCCAGUAUAAAUAACAUAGAAUAUUGCAUGUAUUUGUAGAGACAUGACAUUUGUAUAUUUUUAAGUUAUCCAUAAUACAACGAAAAAUAAUGAAAACACCCAGGACAAAUGUUUCACUGGAAAAAUUUGAAUAAAGUUUGCAGACAUAAUUCUAAUCUUAAACACUUCCAAAAGACAGAAAAGGAUCUAUUCCCCAACCCAGUCUGAGAGUAGAAAAUCUUAGCCCUGGAAGUGAACAAAGAGUAUGAAAGAACUAUUAAAGCCAGUCUCACUUAUGAACAAAAGAUCCAGUAAUCUUAAGAAGUUAAGUAAAUCUAGCAUUAUGUAAAAAUAAUAAAAAUACAUCAGAACGAAGUUGUAUUUAUCCUAGAAAAUGAAAGUUGAUUUAACAUUAGAAACACUUUAAAAAGCAGGGAGGAUUAAAGGAGUUUGUUUAUUCUUAAUAUAUUCUGUUUGUUUAUUUCAGUGUUUUUAUAUGAGUAUCCUUAAAUUUUUAAACUGUGUUAAGAUGCAUGCUUAUACUUGUUUUACUUUUCUGACUGGAAGAUAAACCUAAAUAAAGGUUGUGAAAAAGAUCUUUAAAUAUUACAUUUAUUCUUGAAAUUCUUGUUAACUUUUAUAAUUGAUAGUUGAUAAACAAUUAGGAAGCAUAAGGCACAAUUCUAAUAAUUCUGCAACUUCCCCCUAGAUAUUCUUGAAAUGCUUAUAUCCAUUGGAAUCUGACAUUUAAAAAGUUCAAGAUUUUCAAUAAUUUAAUACACAAACGCUUAAAAGAGUAAAUAUAGUUGUGAUUAAGAGAAGUUUGGCAUUUAAAAAUCAUAGCAAACUGAAACUUUUCAUCUUUUCAUUUGUAACACAAAAUAUUAACUUAAAUGAUUUGAUUUUUCUUUUUCUUUUUCUUUUUUCUUUCUUUCUUUUUUUUCUUUUUCUUUUUUUCUUUUUUUUUCUGGGAUUACAGGCACAUGCCAUCACGCCUAGCUAAUUUUUGUAUUUUUAGUACAGACGGGAUUUCACCAUGUUGGCCGGGAUGGUCUCGAUCUCCUAACUCGUGAUCCUCCCGCCCCCGCCGGCCUUGCCUGGGUUUACAGGCGUGAGCCAUCUUGCCCGGCUGGUUUGAUUUUUCAAUAAAAAUGCAAUAAUUAUAAAUAAGGAAUAAAAAGAGUGUCUGUAUUAUAAAAUAUAAUAACUUUUAUUUUGCCUUUCGAUAUCCCUUUGGUUUCAAAACCAAAUGUAAUAUAAACUGUCAAUUUAAAAUUGAUUUAUUAACAAAUUAUUAUUUCCUUAUGUAAACAUUUAAUUAUUACACAUCUCUGUUAUUAAAUGGAAAAAGUUGAAGAUUGUAUGAAUAUUAUAGUUUAUGCAUGUUAUACAAUUAAAUACAUUAUAUAUAGUUUAAUAAAAUGGUAACCCCAAAUUUUAGAAAUAU